AGUGAACGCUGGCGGCGUGCCUAAUACAUGCAAGUCGAACGAAGUGGCGCACGGGUGAGUAAUAUAUAGUUAAUCUACCCUACACAGAGGAACAACAGUUGGAAACGACUGCUACUACCUCAUAGUGUAGGAUGAGACUAUAUCGUAUCAGCUCGUUGGUAAGGUAAUGGAUUACCAAGUCUAUGACGCGUAACUGGGCUGAGAGGAUUAGCAGUCAAAUUGGAACUGAGACACGGGCCAAACUCCUACGGGAGGCAGCAGUAAGGAAUAGUGCGCAAUGGGGGAAAACCUGACGCAGCGUCGGCGGGUGGAGGAUGACACUUUUCGGAGAGUAAACUCCUUUUAUCAGGAAAGCGGUACCUGAUGAAUAAGCACCGGCUAACUCCGUGCCAGCAGCCGCGGUAAUAC
rnacentral:rRNA from 1 species